UCGAGAAUCUUCCGCAAUGGGCGAAAGCCUGACGGAGCAAUGCCGCGUGCGGGAUGAAGGUCUUCGGAUUGUAAACCGCUGUCACCCGGGACGAACAGAUGACGGUACCGGGGGAGGAAGCCACGGCUAACUACGUGCCAGCAGCCGCGGUAAUACGUAGGUGGCGAGCGUUGUUCGGAAUUACUGGGCGUAAAGGGUUCGUAGGGGGUUCGCCAAGUCUGGCGUGAAAUCCAACGGCUCAACCGUUGAACUGCGCUGGAAACUGUCGGACUGGAGCGUCAGAGAGGAGAGCGGAAUUCCUGGUGUAGCGGUGGAAUGCGUGGAUAUCAGGAAGAACACCGAAGGCGAAGGCAGCUCUCUGGAUGAUGGCUGACCCUGAGGAACGAAAGCGUGGGUAGCAAACAGG
rnacentral:rRNA from 1 species